rnacentral:rRNA from 1 species
AUUGAACGCUGGCGGCAGGCCUAACACAUGCAAGUCGAGCGGAUGAAGGGAGCUUGCUCCUGGAUUCAGCGGCGGACGGGUGAGUAAUGCCUAGGAAUCUGCCUGGUAGUGGGGGAUAACGUCCGGAAACGGGCGCUAAUACCGCAUACGUCCUGAGGGAGAAAGUGGGGGAUCUUCGGACCUCACGCUAUCAGAUGAGCCUAGGUCGGAUUAGCUAGUUGGUGGGGUAAAGGCCUACCAAGGCGACGAUCCGUAACUGGUCUGAGAGGAUGAUCAGUCAAGAGGGAACAGAGACGGGGCCCAGGCGCGAGCGGGAGGGUGCAGGGGUAAAGAUAGGACGACGGGCGAAAGCAUGAUCGGGCCAUGGCGUGAGUGUGAAGAAGGUGUUCAGAUUGUAAUACACUUUAAGUGGGGAGGAAGAGAAGUGAGUUAAUACUUGGGUGUUUCAACAUUCCAAACAGAAUAAGCACCGGCUCACUUCGUGACAGCAGCCAAAGUAACACUCGGAAGAUCACACGUCUGCAC